rnacentral:rRNA from 1 species
GGAGGAAAAGAAACCAACAGGGAUUGCCUCAGUAACGGCGAGUGAAGCGGCAACAGCUCAAAUUUGAAAUCUGGCCCCCUCCGGGGGUCCGAGUUGUAAUUUGAAGAGGGUGCUUUGGCGUCGGCGGCGGUCUAAGUCCCUUGGAACAGGGCAUCGCAGAGGGUGAGAAUCCCGUAUGUGGCCGCGAGCCUUCGCCGUGUAAAGCCCCUUCGACGAGUCGAGUUGUUUGGGAAUGCAGCUCUAAAUGGGAGGUAAAUAUCUUCUAAAGCUAAAUACUGGCCAGAGACCGAUAGCGCACAAGUAGAGUGAUCGAAAGAUGAAAAGCACUUUGGAAAGAGAGUCAAACAGCACGUGAAAUUGUUGAAAGGGAAGCGCUUGCAGCCAGACUUGCUCGCAGUUGCUCAUCCGGGCCCGCGCCCGGUGCACUCUUCUGCGGGCAGGCCAGCAUCAGUUUGGGCAGCCGGAAAAAGACCUUGGAUCAUGUAUCUUCCUGCGGGAUGACCUUAUAGGGGAGGUGCAAUGCGGCUAGCCCGGACUGAGGUCCGCGCAUUUCGCUAGGAUGCUGGCGUAAUGGCUGUAAGCGGCCCGUCUUGAAACACGGACCAAGGAGUCUAACAUCUAUGCGAGUGUUUGGGUGUCAAGCCCGGACGCGCAAUGAAAGUGAACGGAGGUGGGAGCCCUCUCGGGGGUGCACCAUCGACCGAUCCUGAUGUCUUCGGAUGGAUUUGAGUAAGAGCAUAGCUGUUGGGACCCGAAAGAUGGUGAACUAUGCUUGAAUAGGGUGAAGCCAGAGGAAACUCUGGUGGAGGCUCGCAGCGGUUCUGACGUGCAAAUCGAUCGUCAAAUUUGGGCAUAGGGGCGAAAGACUAAUCGAACUAUCUAGUAGCU